rnacentral:rRNA from 1 species
AUUGAACGCUGGCGGCAGGCCUAACACAUGCACGUCGAACGAGUGGCGGACGGGUGAGUAAUGUCUGGGAAACUGCCUGAUGGAGGGGGAUAACUACUGGAAACGGUAGCUAAUACCGCAUACCCUCGGAUGGCCCCAGAUGGGAUUAGCUCGGAGGUGGGGUAAGGGCUCCCGUAGGCGACGAUCCCUAGCUGGUCUGAGAGGAUGACCAGCCACACUGGAACUGAGACACGGUCCAGAAUCCUACGGGAGGCAGCAGUGGGGAAUAUGGCACAAUGGGCGCAAGCCUGAUGCAGCCAUGCCGCGUGUAUGAAGAAGGCCUUCGGGUUGUAAAGUACUUUCAGCGGGGAGGCGUUACCCGCAGAAGAAGCACCGGCUAACUCCGUGCCAGCAGCCGCGGUAAUAC